rnacentral:rRNA from 1 species
CCCUUAGAUGUUCUGGGCCGCACGCGCGCUACACUGACGAAUGCAACGAGCUUAUAACCUUGGCCGAAAGGUCUGGAUAAUCUCCAAAUUUCGUCGUGAUGGGGAUAGAUUAUUGCAAUUAUUAAUCUUCAACGAGGAAUGCCUAGUAAGCGCAAGUCAUCAGCUUGCGUUGAUUACGUCCCUGCCCUUUGUACACACCGCCCGUCGCUCCUACCGAUUGAAUGGUCCGGUGAAGCGUUCGGACCGUGGCCUUUGGACGGUUCGCCGUCUGUUGGCUGCGGGAAGUUCGUUAAACCUUAUCAUUUAGAGGAAGGAGAAGUCGUANCA